rnacentral:RNase_P_RNA from 1 species
GCCGGGAUGCUCACACCGGUAACCGCAUAGGUUGUUUGUCGAUCAUAUCUGCGAACGGGCUAAGGUCUGAGUAUUCUAUCCCCCCUCGCAACCCCCUCGAUCGACUCUAGCCGAGUCUUGUCAUCGUUGACUACGCGGCGCACCAGAAACACAAGCACAUCGGCCUAUAACCUCGGAUGCAAGAGCUAGACAUAGUCUCGGAGACUCUUGGCGCGCUGUCUGGGGACAUAGUCGUAGCUGCGCACUGGCAUCAAGCCGAGGGAGCUUUAGGCUUUGGAAUGCGUGAUCCAGGCAAUUUGCGAUCAGCUUUUUUGUCUUCUUCCAGUGUGCUCACUGUCUGAGUACGUGAGUGAACUCGCUUAUGUACUCGAUGUGACGAUGGUCCACCUUAUGGGGUUGAGGAAGGGGUGGCUGAUGCCAACAGUGUAGUGUUCAUCCUUCAGCUCACUUUGUGGCUCGCACUCAAGGUGCAUCUUCGGAUGUAUCUGCGAAACUCGAUUCAGAUUACUCUUGCACUGU